AAUCAGUGCUGAAAAUCGUCUCUCAUCCGCCAAAACAUCUUCGGCGUUGUAAGGUUAAGCCUCACGGUUCAUUAGUACCGGUUAGCUCAACGCAUCGCUGCGCUUACACACCCGGCCUAUCAACGUCGUCGUCUUCAACGUUCCUUCAGGAGACCUAAAGUCUCAGGGAGAACUCAUCUCGGGGCAAGUUUCGUGCUUAGAUGCUUUCAGCACUUAUCUCUUCCGCAUUUAGCUACCGGGCAGUGCCAUUGGCAUGACAACCCGAACACCAGUGAUGCGUCCACUCCGGUCCUCUCGUACUAGGAGCAGCCCCCCUCAGUUCUCCAGCGCCCACGGCAGAUAGGGACCGAACUGUCUCACGACGUUCUAAACCCAGCUCGCGUACCACUUUAAAUGGCGAACAGCCAUACCCUUGGGACCUACUUCAGCCCCAGGAUGUGAUGAGCCGACAUCGAGGUGCCAAACACCGCCGUCGAUAUGAACUCUUGGGCGGUAUCAGCCUGUUAUCCCCGGAGUACCUUUUAUCCGUUGAGCGAUGGCCCUUCCAUUCAGAACCACCGGAUCACUAUGACCUGCUUUCGCACCUGCUCGCGCCGUCACGCUCGCAGUCAAGCUGGCUUAUGCCAUUGCACUAACCUCCUGAUGUCCGACCAGGAUUAGCCAACCUUCGUGCUCCUCCGUUACUCUUUAGGAGGAGACCGCCCCAGUCAAACUACCCNNNNNNNNNNNNNNNNNNNNCCAGACACUGUCCGCAACCCGGGUAACGGGUCCACGUUAGAACAUCAAACAUUAAAGGGUGGUAUUUCAAGGUCGGCUCCAUGCAGACUGGCGUCCACACUUCAAAGCCUCCCACCUAUCCUACACAUCAAGGCUCAAUGUUCAGUGUCAAGCUAUAGUAAAGGUUCACGGGGUCUUUCCGUCUUGCCGCGGGUACACUGCAUCUUCACAGCGAGUUCAAUUUCACUGAGUCUCGGGUGGAGACAGCCUGGCCAUCAUUACGCCAUUCGUGCAGGUCGGAACUUACCCGACAAGGAAUUUCGCUACCUUAGGACCGUUAUAGUUACGGCCGCCGUUUACCGGGGCUUCGAUCAGGAGCUUCGCUUGCGCUGACCCCAUCAAUUAACCUUCCGGCACCGGGCAGGCGUCACACCGUAUACGUCCACUUUCGUGUUUGCACAGUGCUGUGUUUUUAAUAAACAGUUGCAGCCAGCUGGUAUCUUCGACUGACUUCAGCUCCAUGAGUAAAUCACUUCACCUACGUGUCAGCGUGCCUUCUCCCGAAGUUACGGCACCAUUUUGCCUAGUUCCUUCACCCGAGUUCUCUCAAGCGCCUUGGUAUUCUCUACCUGACCACCUGUGUCGGUUUGGGGUACGAUUUGAUGUUACCUGAUGCUUAGAGGCUUUUCCUGGAAGCAGGGCAUUUGUUGCUUCAGCACCGUAGUGCCUCGUCGUCACGCCUCAGUGUUAAAGUGAACCGGAUUUACCUGGAACACACACCUACACGCUUAAACCGGGACAACCGUCGCCCGGCCAACAUAGCCUUCUCCGUCCCCCC
rnacentral:rRNA from 1 species